CGCGUAGGCGGUCUUUUAAGUCAGGUGUGAAAGCCCGGGGCUCAACCCCGGAAGUGCACUUGAAACUAAGAGACUUGAGUAUGGGAGAGGGAAGUGGAAUUCCUGGUGUAGCGGUGAAAUGCGUAGAUAUCAGGAGGAACAUCAGUGGCGAAGGCGACUUCCUGGACCAAUACUGACGCUGAGGCGCGAAGGCGUGGGGAGCAAACAGGAUUAGAUACCCUGGUAGUCC
rnacentral:rRNA from 1 species